UACGUAGGGUGCGAGCGUUGUCCGGAAUUACUGGGCGUAAAGAGCUCGUAGGUGGUUUGUCGCGUUGUUCGUGAAAACUCACAGCUUAACUGUGGGCGUGCGGGCGAUACGGGCAGACUGGAGUACUGCAGGGGAGACUGGAAUUCCUGGUGUAGCGGUGGAAUGCGCAGGAUAUCAGGAGGAACACCGGUGGCGAAGGCGGGUCUCUGGGCAGUAACUGACGCUGAGGAGCGAAAGCGUGAGGAGCGAACAGG
rnacentral:rRNA from 1 species